rnacentral:rRNA from 1 species
GUGCCAGCCGCCGCGGUAAUACCGGCAGCUCAAGUGAUGGCCGAUCUUAUUGGGCCUAAAGCGUCCGUAGCUGGCCGCGCAAGUCCAUCGGAAAAUCCACCCGCCCAACGGGUGGGCGUCCGGUGGAAACUGCGUGGCUUGGGACCGGAAGGCGCGACGGGUACGUCCGGGGUAGGAGUGAAAUCCUAUAAUCCUGGACGGACCACCAAUGGGGAAACCACCUCAGGAGGAUGGACCCGACAGUGAGGGACGAAAGCUAGGGUCUCGAACCGGAUUAGAAACCCUUGUAGUCC